UACGUAGGGGGGCGAGCGUUGUCCGGAUUUAUUGGGCGUAAAGAGCGUGUAGGCGGCUGGGUAGGUCCGUUGUGAAAACUCGAGCUCAACCUCGAGACGCCGAUGGAAACCCUCCAGCUAGAGUCCGGAAGAGGAGAGUGGAAUUCCUGGUGUAGCGGUGAAAUGCGCAGAUAUCAGGAAGAACACCCGUGGCGAAGGCGGCUCUCUGGGACGGUACUGACGCUGAGACGCGAAAGCGUGGGGAGCGAACAGG
rnacentral:rRNA from 1 species